rnacentral:lncRNA from 1 species
CCACGGUGUCGACGUCGGCGCCGGCGAAGAUGCAUCGUCGUCGGAGGCGGCAGAGAAUGAGGGAGAGGGAGAGAUGAGAAGGGCGGGGAAGGACGAGAAGGACGAGAGAGGCAUCGUCGUCGGAGACGGUGGAGAAGAGUCGGAGAAGAAAAGAAAAGAAAAAAGCAAAAAAAAAAAAAAAGUCGUGGCGCGGCCUUGGCGGGGUUGGAGGCGAGGAAGGUGGGGGGUGCGUGGACAAGGGCAAGGGCGAGGGCGAGGGCGAGGGCUAGAGAAUGAGGGUGAGAGGCGAGACGGACCGUUUCCGCAUCCGUUCUGCCGGCGAGAAAAAAAAAGAACGAGAGAAACGAAGAGGAGAGAGAAAGAGGAAAGAGAAAAAGUAAAAAGGGUAUUUUGGUCAGUUUACUGAAAAAGUGGACCGAAUCUGCAAAGACGAAAAAGGUGGCCCGGUUUUGUAAAAACCCAAAAUAAAUGGAUUUUUUAUGCAAAUUGGCCUAAUUUCUGA